rnacentral:rRNA from 1 species
UACGUAGGGGGCAAGCGUUGUCCGGAUUUACUGGGCGUAAAGGGCGCGUAGGCGGCAAUUCAAGUCAGCUGUGAAAUCUCCGGGCUUAACUCGGAACGGUCAGCUGAUACUGCUUUGCUAGAGUACAGAAGGGGCAAUCGGAAUUCUUGGUGUAGCGGUGAAAUGCGUAGAUAUCGGGAGGAACACCUGUGGCGAAAGCGGCUCACUGGACCACAACUGACGCUGAGGCGCGAAAGCUAGGGGAGCAAACAGG